rnacentral:rRNA from 1 species
UGGGGAAUAUUGGACAAUGGGCGAAAGCCUGAUCCAGCCAUGCCGCGUGUGUGAUGAAGGCCUUAGGGUUGUAAAGCUCUUUUACCAGGGAUGAUAAUGACAGUACCUGGAGAAUAAGCUCCGGCUAACUCCGUGCCAGCAGCCGCGGUAAUACGGAGGGAGCUAGCGUUGUUCGGAAUUACUGGGCGUAAAGCGUACGUAGGCGGUGACUCAAGUCAGAGGUGAAAGCCUGGAGCUCAACUCCAGAACUGCCUUUGAAACUAGGUCGCUAGAAUCACGGAGAGGUGAGUGGAAUUCCGAGUGUAGAGGUGAAAUUCGUAGAUAUUCGGAAGAACACCAGUGGCGAAGGCGGCUCACUGGACGUGUAUUGACGCUGAGGUACGAAAGCGUGGGGAGCAAACAGGAUUAGAUACCCCUGUAGUCCCUGAGCGGGCUGGCAAGGCGCAU